rnacentral:ncRNA from 2 species
CGCACUUGAUCGGGAGAGACUGUCGCCACACCGUGCGACGGCGCCGAAGGAGCAACCGCCCCGGAAACUCUCAGGCAAAAGGACCGGUCCGGUAUU